CCCUUUGUUCACACCCUUUUCUCUCUCUAGCUUUCUUCGUUUCUCUCAAGGUCUCCUCAUUUUUUUUGUCAAUAGAAACAGUAUUGAAUAGUGUUCCUCUAGUUUAUGUGUUCUUCUUCUUGAUUUCCUCAAUUUCUUUUCAGCGAAGACUGAAAUUCAUGGUUAUACCUUUUGUUUUUUCUAUGUUGUAUGAUAAUUUUAAGAGGCUUUUCUCUUCUUUGGAGGACUAGAAACUUGCGAGGCUUGGGUUAUCUGAGAAUGACUAAGAAUCCAGGAUUGAGUAGAAGGGAUCUCUUAGAGGGCAGCGAAGACUGUUUGUUAGGUUCGGAAAUUCAUGGGUUUCGCACUUUGGAAGAAUUGCAAAUUGGGAAGAUACCCACUGAGGCUACAACGAGGUGGCUGAGGCCUAAUGAGAUCCAUGCGAUUUUGUCUAAUUACAAAUUGUUUAAUGUCCAUGUCAAACCGUUGGACUCUCCAGAAAAUGGUACAAUUGUAUUGUUUGACCGUAAGAUGCUGAGGAACUUUCGCAAAGACGGCCAUGUUUGGAAGAAGAAGCAAGAUGGGAAGACUGUUCGAGAAGCUCAUGAACAAUUAAAAGUUGGUAAUGCUGAGAGGAUCCACGUAUAUUAUGCACAUGGCCUGGAUAAGCCCAAAUUUGCUCGAAGAUCUUAUUGGCUACUGGAUAGUGAACAUGCACACAUUGUCCUGGUACAUUAUCGUGAUACCUCUGAGGAUACUGCAAAUGGUACUAUCUCUUCGCGGAAGGAAUCUAAGGAGGCUUUUUCGUUGUUGGGUCGGCCAAGGGCACUUCAUCUUUCUCCAUCUACUCCAUCGACUUCCAGUUCAGGUUCAAGCUACUUGGACCAACCUGUUAUCUCUUCCGAAGAGAAUAAUCCUGGUGCCGACUCCACUGCAUACAAAUCAGCUGAGAUGGGAAACCAGUUUCUUGGAGCUGGAGAAACGAGAAAUUUUGAGUCAAUCAUUCAUGAAAUAAACACAUAUGAAUGGGAUGAUCUUCUGGGUAUACUUAAUACUGCUCCUGAUGAAGGGAGAGAUUUAUCUUCUGAGAGGGCACAAUGUGACCAAAAGGAUUCUGUAGCUAUUGUUAAUGAUGUACUUCUGUCCAACACCGAGGGAAGGCAUGCCAGCCAUCUGAUGGACUCAAAUUUCAAGAGAAAUUGCGUAGAUCAGGAGGCAGUAAAUCAGUAUACUCAGUCAGCCCCAUCUGAGACGCUAAUCAAUGAUGAUGCAUUGCAGCCACAAGACACUUACAACACAAUUAUGAAUUAUGUUCAGAACAACCCCCCUGGCUCUCCUGGACAAGGGCAAGUUUUCUACAUAACUGACAUUUCACCUGCUUGGGCUUUUGCGACAGAAGAGACAAAGGUUAUAGUGACUGGGUAUCUCCUUGAAACUCAAGCAACUCUUGAGGAGCUCAAUUGGUUCUGUGUGAUUGGUGAUGUCACUGUUCCUGCAGAGAUAAUCCAACCUGGAGUUCUCAGGUUUAUAGCGCCACCUCAUUCUUCUGGAGUAUAUGAUUUUUACUUGACCUUGGAUUGCCGGACUCCUAGUAGUCAGGUUUACAGCUUUGAGUAUCGCCCAUUUUCAAGCAACCAAGUUAAUAACAUUGGUUUUUCACCAAAGGUUGAUGAGCUUGAGUGGGAUGAUUUUGACGUUCAAGUAAGGCUUGCCCAUUUACUAUUCUCUACAACUAAAGGCCUUGCAGUCCUCUAUAGCAAAGAAACUCCAAAGGCCAUGAGGGAAGCAAGAAGAUUUUCGUCCUUAAUCUCCUCAUAUGAAAAAGAGUGGACAUCUCUACUAAAAUCAACAAAGAGUAAAAAUAUAUCACUCUCACAAGCCAAAUCCAAUCUUAUGGAGCUGACCUUAAAAGGGAAACUAUGGGAAUGGCUUCUAGAAACAGUGGUUGAAGGGAGGAGACCAGCUGUCAAAGAUAGUCAUGGGCAAGGAGUUAUACAUUUGUGUGCUAUCCUGGGUUAUGCUUGGGCUAUUUAUCCUAUUUCUGCGUCAGGCAUGUCUAUAAACUUUCGGGAUGCCUCUGGUUGGACGGCUCUACACUGGGCUGCAUAUUGUGGGAGGGAACAAAUGGCCGCUGUUCUCUUGUCCACAGGUGCCAACGCAAGCUUAGUCUCGGACCCCACUCCGGACUGUCCUGGUGGAUGCACUGCAGCUGACCUUGCAUUGAGAAAAGGUUUUGAAGGGAUGGCUGCCUAUCUUGGCGAGAAAGCACUUACUGCUCACUUUAGAGAUAUGCACAUUUCAGGCCACUUGGGUUCCUCAGAUGAGGCCUCUUUGGAAAAUACUAAUGACACUCAGAACCUCACCGAAGAAGAGCUUUGCAUUAGGGACUCGAUGGCAGCAAUUAGAACUGCUGCUAAUGCAGCUUCUCAAAUUCAGGCAGCUUUUAGAGAACACUCUUUUAACCUAAGAAUUAAGGCGGUACAGUUGGCCAAGCCCGAUUAUGAAUGGGCCAUUAUUUCUGCCAUGAAGAUACAGAAUGCUUACAGAGCCCACUCCCAAAGGAAGAGAACUGCUGCUGCAGUUCGAAUACAACAUAGGUUUCGUACAUGGAAGAUAAGGAGAGAGUUUCUAAAUAUGCGGCGGCAAGUUAUUAAGAUUCAAGCGAUUUUCCGAGGCUACCAAGUGAGAAGGCAAUACUGCAAAAUCCUAUGGUCGGUUGGGAUUCUUGAGAAGGGCAUAUUGCGCUGGCGUCAAAAGAGGAAGGGAUUGCGAGGGUUGCAGGUUGAACCCACCACACCUGUUGAAAUAGAAGAGGAUGGGGUGCCUGUUGUGGAAGAGGAUUUCUUUAGGAUUGGACGAAAACUUGCAGAAGAAAGAGUAGAUAGAUCCUUCAAUAGUGUUCAAGUUAUGUUUCAGUCAGACCAAGCUCGAAGGGAUUAUCGAAGACUCAAGCUUAAAGUUGACGCAGCUAUGUUGGAACACGACACAGUUCAUGAUACUGACCAGGACUAAUGGAGACCUCUCUGAAACCAUUGCUGACACCUCUCAAGCCGUUAGUGGCGGCUGUGCUGGAGCAUGCUAAUGGUUGCCCUCAUUUCUUGUAUGAACACCAUCCAGAUAAAAGGUUAUGUAAAGGCAAUACUAGUGGUAGCAGAAGUUUACAGCCUAACAUGAAGCUGGCAUUAUAGCUGGUCAGGUAAGGUUGAUCACCACCGUCCAUCUGGGACUAGAUGGCGGAUAACAUACCAUUAUCCAUACACAUGCAAUACGAUGGUUUAUUUGAUAGUCCAAGGUUUGUAAGGGAUGUCUGAUGAUCUGUUUGUUAACAUUCAUGUUUAUGUAUCUGUGAUCAUUUCUAUGUGUGUUAAUGUCUGAUAUUUGAGGUCAGAUAUGUCUUCCUAAUUGCUUUUGAGUUAUGGAAGUUGGUUUUAACCCA